rnacentral:lncRNA from 1 species
AGGCUUUUGAAACCAGAAAAAGUGUGUGUGAGUUUGUUUAGGAUUGGGUGCGUUUCUUCAAUUGGGCUAGGCACUUUCAAUUUUAUUACCACACAAGCCUUUCAAAUACGUAUUUAUCUCACCCCCAAGGAUGUGGGGGCUAAAAAAGUCAAAAAGCCCAGGCUGAAUAUGGCAUGUCUAGACAACCUCCUAAGGGUUUAAAACAUAUGUUAUUUUCUAAUCAGCGCCCCCCAAAGCUGUGCUAUGAAGCAUAAAUACAAUAUCGGCAGACCGAAUAUGUCGAGACACCCGCCUGUGGUUUUUGGUCUCUAGACAUUCUGGGGUACUUUACGACCAUUUUUUGCAUACAGGAUGUCGCCCGAAAAAACGGCACCCCAGCUCUGUAAACUCAUUGCAGAAUAGUGAAACUAGCCAGUCGGUACGACAGCCUAAAGCGCAACUCAAAAGACUCCCGGCCAACAGACAGAAGAGUUAUCAGGCUAAAAGAUCAUCAAUGAAUCGGUCCUAAUGGAGCUUUCUGAAGCGGACAGACCCAAAAGAAGGAUCACGGGUGCUUCAUGUACUCUGAACGAUGACAUCGAUGCUAUUCUACCGUUCUGUUCGAACGGCUUUACCCUAACUCCCCCCCAGGAACCAAGCUACAUAUUUCCGACCCAAACAUGGCACAACUUAUGCGCAAGUGCAUUGCGCAGAAUCACCCCGGCCCGAAAAGUUACUGCUUCAAGAAACGGCGCUACAUGGACAAGACUCCAAUGAGACAUGCCCUGCAGAAUCUGCAAGGCCUGGUGAAAAAAGUCUAGAGCCCACGGUUUCCGCGAUUCGUCAGAACAGCCCGCGUCAAAAAAGCAGAGACUCCUCCCCGGCGUAUAACGGCACAGAAGACCAUACACACCGAGAACACGCAGAGGAUUUCGGCGCGCCGGACAUUCACAAUAAAACAACGAAACCGGAUGAUUUCAAUGUUUUAAAUGACAUUCCAGAGGUAGACGACUGAAUAUUCUGUAACGCAGCCAAUCUUCUUGAUUCCUCCAAUUCUUAUGUAGAAACAUCCAAACCUCAAAUAGACCAAGCUGGGUUUAUCAAUGCCUUUUCCAAGGCUCUAAAAUCCAGAAACGUCUUGCUACACAAACUAAUGGUUGAUUUACUCGAGCAGCAAUACAGUCAGGAUCUAUCCUUCUGGUGUAGAAUUAUGCCCCGUUUGUUAAGCAAAAAAACAUUUAAAAAACGCAAAUAAUUGAGACAGUUGAAAGCCUUUUGGCCCCGAUCUACAAGCUUUAAUUGAACGGAUGAGCGAGGGUGAAGUAUCAGACAUAAUUCCGAUAGACGAAAAUCUAUCUUCCUCAAAUUCCCGCCGACCUAAUUGAAAUAAUUAAACAUAUGAACGAGUCCGGAACGACCGAUGAAAACCAAUUAUCACAAAUCCCGCCCACCCUAGUUUUUUUAAUAAACCAGAUGAACGAGAGCCUGAGAUCAUCUACACCGGAACCCACACACACCCCGCCAUUAACGCCCAUGUCAGAAGAGUCUGUAACGCAAUACAAUGUUUUUGAGGAAUUGGAAAAUUGUGUAAUAAAUCAGGAGGGAGAUGGUCUUGAUAGAAGUGUCAGGGUUGUGUACAGAAAUAAAUUCAGCAAUACAGAGAUUAGACAGUUUUUCAAUUUCACAUGGUUGAAUCAAAAUCUCGAUUAUGCGUUUUUUUUACGUGAUGAUUAUGGAUACUCUGAACAAACUGUUAGACAGGGCAAGAGAUUAUGGCGAACCUCGUAAUGUCUUACAGUUGGAGAUAGCAUGCAAAACACUGUAUCUCUUAUUUUACCCAAUGGUGAAGCAGAUCUUGAACAAUUUAUAGCCCUGCUGGAACGACUUGUUCAAUUAAAUUUAUCCGUCAUAGCCGAUAGGUCGCUAGAGCUUGUAGUGCAAAUAAUACGGCAACCCCAGGGUGGUGGGAGCAGAGAAGGAAACUAGAUAGCCUAAUGCAAUCAGAAAUCAUAAACAAUAAAAGGGCAUGUCUCAUAAACGUUCACAAUCCCGGUAAUAAGCUAUGCUUUGCAAUAGGCCUAGUACAUUUACUAAACCCUGGAUGUACGGAUCUAGAGGCGUUACAAAAGGCUAGAGAGCUACAAAAUGCUGUCGGUCUGGGCAUGCAGUGGCAUUCUCUGACAUAGUCAACUAUGAAAACUUUCUGAACAUCAAGAUUGUGGUUUUGUACCUCAGUAGAGCUAAUGCCGCUCUCUUGAAAUUCCAAAACAACCCCCAACCUCAUCCUCAGAUUCUGUACUUUUAUGUGCAAAACACCCAUUAUUAUGCGGUUACCAACAUCGGAGCGUUUUUAGGCGCACCAUAUGUGUGUCCAGCCUGUCAUACCAGCUACACCCGAAAGGGGGGGCACUCGUGCCGUUAUAACUGUUCCGUAUGUCUGGAUGAAAAUUGUCCAAUGCAGCCCUUAAACCUGACACCCUGUGACGAUUGUCGCAGGACAUGUCACUCGACCUACUGUUACGAAAAACACAAAAUUGAAACAUGGCACCCAAGGCCUGUAAAUCUGUAAGCAGUUGUGAUAUUAACAAGGAAUGUCCAAAAUGUCAAUGCAAUUACAACCUCAAAAUAGACAGCCCUAAGCCUCAUAUGUGUGUGGAAUCAUACAUUGCCCAAUCUGUAAAGGGCCUUUGAAAAGCAGAGACUCUGAAGUGGUUCAAGAAGUGCCACACGAGUGUUAUAUUCAACCCUUGGCUGAAGAUGAACAUUCAGAGAAAUACGUUUUUUAUGAUUUUGAGACUAAUCAACAAUCAGGGGUUCAUUUGCCUAUUUUUGUAUCUACCAUGACUUUCAAGGGGGAUAAGUGGUCAGCAGAGGGACCCAAUUGUGCACUCCUCUUUCUAAAACACUUCAGAAAACCCCAGUACAGAAACUUCACAAUUCUAGAGCAUAUGAUUCGGACCUUCUUUUGAACCCUCUGAUACAGCAAAGCGUUGCACCCAGUGUCAUAGCACAAGGUAGUAAAUCUUGUGUUUUGUUGACCCCGCUUUCAACCAGAGAUACAUUGACAGUUUAAGCUUCUUACCCAUGAGAUUGGCUCAAAUGCCUGAGGCCUUGGGUUUUGAGAACUCUGUGAAAGGUUGGUUUCCCCAUUUUUUUUACAUCUGAGGAGAAUCUACACUAUAUAGGAUCUUAUCCGAGACCCGAAAUGUACGGUUGUGAUCAAAUGUCUCCCAAAGAGCGAGAGAGAUUCAUGACAUGGUACGAGACAGUAUGUCACAGCACUUUUGAUUUCCACAAAGAGAUGGAGUCAUACUGUGACAACGACGUGGUUAUCCUUCGCGAGGGGUGCCUCAGAUUCAGAGCAGAGGUCAUCAAAGAUGCAGGCAUUGACCCCUGGAGUUGUACAACUAUUGCAUCGGCAUGCAUGAAAACCUAUCGUACACACUUUCUACCUACAGCAUCUAUAGCUAUCCCCUCGCCUGACAACUACCGACGCCAAUUCAAGUCAUACUCUAGUGGCUCCAUUCAGUGGUUGGAGUACUUGGCCCAGGAUAAAGACAUUUUUAUUCAACAUGCUUUGAAUAGGGGUGAGAAGGCGUUUGGGGUUUAUCAUUGUAAUGGAAAUUAUAUGAUUAAAGGUUUGACUAAAUGAUUUCACUCAGAAACCCUAUAACCUGUUGAAAUGUAUUCGAAAUAAGGCUAUAAUAAUGGGUUAAAAACUAUGUUCCAAUACUGUGUGUGAGUAAGACACUUUUACCACUUCAAAAUUAGCAGGGCAGAGUUGAUAAGAUGACCUUGGGGAAGGAACAGGAAAAGAUGUCUCCCUAAGUUAGGGAGAGAAACAACGGCAUGGGAACAGCUAGGCUGGCAAAACUGAGUAGUUUAAUUGAAGUUCGGUUUAAGAACAUUGAUAACUUAAUUCACGUAACAAUCAUGUAGAUGGAUACACACAGAUUGACGUGUUGAGACCGUGUUUGAGUACAACGGUUGUUUCUUCCACGGUUGUAAAUCUUGCUUUGAGCCACAGGCCUUGUGUGUCCUAACCCAAAAUACUUUUGGAGCAAUGUACUUAGAGUUUCAAGACAAAUUGGAAUCUUUACAGGCUACUUAUGGUUUGAAAGUGAAUAUUAUGUGGGAGCAUGAGUGGACCGCACUCAAAAAGUCUGAUCCUCAUGUUUGAGCUUUCCAUUCCAGCUUUGACACACCCGAACCCUUGGAGCCACGACAGGCCUUGUAUGGAGGCCGUACCAAUGCUUUGACCUUGCGGUAUGUAGCGCAACCAGACGAGACAAUAGGAUAUGUAGAUUUUACAUCUCUUUAUCCUCAUGUAAUGAGUUCCUCAUGCUAUCCUAUGGGGCAAUUCACGCUAUCCUAUGAAAUUAUUCACCGCGACUUUGACUUACCCCAAAACUAUUUUGGUUUGAUCAAAGCAACUGUCUACCCACCUAGGGGUUUGUUUAUACCAGUGUUGCCUUACAAGGGACCUCAAGGAAAACUUUUCUUUCCCCUAUGUCGCACCUGCAGUGAAAACAACAACCAGGAAAAGCCUUGUGAUCACUCAGAUCAGGAAAGAGCCCUUACAGGUGUCUGGAUCACAGUUGAAUUCUCGAAGGCUCUAGAGAAGGGGUACCGUGUGGCCGAAAUCUUUGAAGUGUGGAACUUUUCCAGGAAAUCAGACACUCUUUUUAAAGAGUACAUCAAGACCUUCUUGAGAUGCAAGCAAAUGGCUUCAGGCUAUCCUGCAUCGGUCACAGAUCAAGAGAGCAAAGACAAGUACAUUCGAGACUAUCAUGACAGAGAAAGCAUACUUCUUGACCCCGACCGAAUAGAGGUCAACAAGACCAAACGAAAUGUGUCGAAAUUGUACUUAAACUCGCUUUGGGGGAAGCUUUCGCAGAGAUGCAAUAUGCUAACAACGUCGAUCAUUAAAGACCCCAAAGAAUGUUUGGAUUUUGUUUUUUCGGACCAAUACGAAAUUUCACAUUUUUCAUUCUUGAGUCAAGACAUUGCCCUGGUGCAAUGGAGACGUAACAAGAAGUGGGUUCUACCCCCAGGUAAUGUAAAUGUGUUUCUUGCAGCAUUUACCACGGCCUAUGGCCGACUUGAACUGUACGCCCUCAUGGAGCAGCUUCAGAGAAGGGUUCUUUAUCAUGACACCGACUCUGUGUUCUAUGUAAGCAAACAGGGUGACUGGAGCCCCCCACUUAGCAACUAUCUGGGUGGUUUAACGAGUGAACUCAAAGAUGGCGACCAUAUCACAGAAUGGUCCUCCUGUGGGCCCAAAAGCUAUGCUUUUAGGACUAAUGACAAUCACGUGGUGUUGAAAGCCAAAGGCGUGACUCCAAACUACGAAAAUGCCCCGCGUGUAAACUUGGAAUCAAUCACACGCUUGGUCGAAGGGUUCAUAAACGAUCAGAAUAGUGACUUGGAGCUUUUGAGCUCCUACAAAAAAAUUGUUAGGGAUAAAAAGGUCUUCCAUCUCAGGAAUGCCCCACUUACUAAAAGAUUCAGGGUAGUCUAUGACAAGAGACUGCUUUUACCUAAUGGGACAACAUUGCCCUUUGGCUACUGACUUAUGCUACAAGCCCCAGUGUGUCUUAAAGCUUAAGAUAUAAUGGCUGCUGUAAGGUUUUGAUCCCCGGUUGCAACUACCAUUUUCGGUCUUAAUCGCAGGCCCCUCCAACAGUGGUAAAACUUGUUUUGUAAAAGGUAUUUUAGAGAAUUCUGAACAUGUGUUAUCUCAGAAGCCUGACAAUAUUGUGUGGUGUUAUUCGUGUUAUGAUGAAUUGUUGAAG